rnacentral:rRNA from 1 species
UACGAAGGGGGCUAGCGUUGCUCGGAAUCACUGGGCGUAAAGGGUGCGUAGGCGGGUCUUUAAGUCAGGGGUGAAAUCCUGGAGCUCAACUCCAGAACUGCCUUUGAUACUGAGGAUCUUGAGUUCGGGAGAGGUGAGUGGAACUGCGAGUGUAGAGGUGAAAUUCGUAGAUAUUCGCAAGAACACCUGUGGCGAAGGCGGCUCACUGGCCCGAUACUGACGCUGAGGCACGAAAGCGUGGGGAGCAAACAGG